rnacentral:rRNA from 1 species
AUUGAACGCUGGCGGCAGGCUUAACACAUGCACGUCGAACGAGUGGCGGACGGGUGAGUAAUGCUUGGGACUCUAGCUUAUGGAGGGGGAUAACUACGGGAACCUGUAGCUAAUACCGCGUACCAUAGGAUGAGCCCAAGUGGGAUUAGGUAGUUGGUGAGGUAAAGGCUCACCAAGCCGACGAUCUCUAGCUGGUCUGAGAGGAUGAUCAGCCACACUGUGACUGAGACACGGCCCAGACUCCGACGGGAGGCAGCAGUGGGGAAUAUUGCACAAUGGGCGCAAGCCUGAUGCAGCCAUGCCGCGUGUAUGAAGAAGGCCUUAGGGUUGUAAAGUACUUUCAGUCGGGAGGCGUUACCGACAGAAGAAGCACCGGCUAACUCCGUGCCAGCAGCCGCGGUAAUUC